UCCGAGUUGCCCCGGCAGUUCCGUAUGAGUGCGCGUUUCCGCUGGCAACAUACAGUGAGGGUUGCGCUCGUUGCGGGACUUAACCCAACAUCUCACGACACGAGCUGACGACAGCCAUGCAACACCUGUCUCCCUGUCCUCUUGCGAGGAAAACCGGCUUUCACCGGCGGUCAGGGGAUGUCAAGCCUGGGUAAGGUUCUUCGGUUAGUGACGAAUUAAACCACAUACUCCACCGCUUGUGCGGGCCCCCGUCAAUUCCUUUGAGUUUCAGUCUUGCGACCGUACUCCCCAGGCGGCGAACUUAACGCGUUAGCUUCGAUACUGCGUGCCAAAUUGCACCCAACAUCCAGUUCGCAUCGUUUAGGGCGUGGACUAC
rnacentral:misc_RNA from 1 species